UACGUAGGUGGCAAGCGUUGUCCGGAAUUAUUGGGCUUAAAGCGCGCGCAGGCGGAUCAGUCAGUCAGUCUUAAAAUAUCGGGGCUUAACCCCGUGAGGGGAUGGAAACUGCUGAUCUAGAGUAUCGGAGAGGAAAGUGGAAUUCCUCGCGUAGCGGUGAAAUGCGUAGAUAUUAGGAAGAACACCAAUGGCGAAGGCGACUUUCUGGACGAAAACUGACGCUGAGGCGCGAAAGCCAGGGGAGCGAACGGG
rnacentral:rRNA from 1 species